UAAUUUUUUUUUUUCGAAAAUAAAAAGAAAAAAUAAAACAAUUUUUUUCCUUAUAUAUGGAAAAAAAAUCAAAUAAAAGUUUUUUUUCUUUGUCAUUUCUUACAUAUUUCUGUUUUUAUUUCCAUUUUUUUUGUUCUUGUUUUAUAUUUUUUUUCUAUUAUUUUUGCUUUAUUUCGAAAAAGUUUUUCGUACAUAUUCAUUCGUCUUGAUGGUGGAAUUGAACUCUUGUCAGUGUUUAAGCUGAAGCCGUUAAUACAGCAUUUGUUUUUUUUUAUUGUAUUGUCAUUUAUAAAUCGUUUUAUAUUUUAUUAUUAUAGUAUUUUUUAUAUUAAGUUUUUAUUAUAUUAUUAUUUAUUUUUUUGUUCAUAUUUAAAUCAAAAAGAAAUGGAAACACAAAAGAUUGUGUUUUAUUUUUUUUUCAAUACACAAAUAUAAUAUUGAAUAAUAAUAAUGCAAAUGAAAAAUAAAACUAAAUUCAAACAAAAAAUGAAUUAAGGAAUAUAAUUUAAUAGUCAAAUAUUAAGUGACAGCGGCGGCAGGAAUAUUAUUGUGUAAACGACUAAGAAACGAAUAAAAACAUUCAGUCAGGGAGAGCACUGCACUCUUAAAAAUAAUAAAAAAAAAACAAAAUAAUAUAAAAAUAAAAUAGAUAAUUUAAAAAUAAAAAAUUUAUUUUAUAUUGUUGUUAUCUAUAUUUACCUUUUCUAAUAUAUUGCAAUCGCAUAAAAUAUAUUUAAAACUAAAAAAUCAUUAAAAAAAAAUAAUUAGAUAUUUAUAUGUAUGUGUACAAUGUAUUUCUAAAAUAAUUAUAUCUCUUAAUAUAAAAUGAUGUGAAUAAAUUAUAAAACCUAUAUGAAAUUAAAAAUUUUUGUAAUAAAACAUAAAAAUUAUUUUGUUAUACAAUUUCAUACUUAAAAAAAGCUAAAAAUUGAUCAGUGAGUUAUAUUAAUAAAAAAAAUUCAAAUUGUUUCAAACUUAUUCAAUAAAUAAUAUUUUUAAAAAAAUUAAUUUAUUAAUAACAAUAAAGGAAAAAAAAUAAAUAAGAUCAGCCAAAAUAAAAAAAAAAAUAUAUUCAUAAUAAAAAUUCAAAAAUUUGACAGUAGGAAAAAUAGAUGAGGCAAACAAAAAAUUAAAAAAAAAAAUGAAAGAUAGAGAGAGAAAACAAUUAGCGGGAGAAAAAUAAGAAAAUAUUCAUAUUAUAUUUUAAAAAAUUUGAAUUUAAAUUGAACUAGAAUAAUAAUUCAAAUUGAAAUAUUUGGUGUCUCGUUUUAUUUUAUACUUGAUUUAUAUAAAGCAAAAGCAGCACAGCACAAAAUUUAAAAAAAGAAAUAAAAUUCUGCAAGCAAAAAUAUUUUUGAAUAAAAUGAAAUUAAUUAUUUGUAAAAUUUAAACAAGCACGAGAAAAGAAAAACGAAUUAAAUUUUUAAAACUAGAUAAAAAACAUUAUGAAUAAAAUUAAAUAAAAAAAGUGUUAAAAUAAAUAACAAAAACAAGUUUGCCGGCAAGAACUCAAUAAACAAAUUUAAUUAAAUUGAAUUGAAUAAUAUUUAACGAACAUUAAGAAAAUGAAUUCAACUCUGAAUAAUAAAUAAAUAAAUAAAUGUUAGGAUGAUUAUUAUUAAUUGCUUAUUAAUGAGUAUUUUGCUUUAAUUUUUUGCAUAAAAGAAAUUAUAUACUUACCAAUAACAAUUUAAAAGUUUUAUGUAUUUAAGAAAAUGUAUAUAAAAAAAAGUGCAAAAUAAUUAAUUAAAAAAUUUUAAAAUUCAAAGUUAAAAGAAUAUAAACAAAAAAAAAAAUAGGAGAAACAUUUUUUUUUUUUUAAGAGAAAAGAAAAUUAAAUGUACAAGAAAUCAAAUUUGCAAAUAACAAACAAAAAGUAAAAAAUUAUUGUAAAAUAGAAAAUUAAAUAAAUCGUAGGGAAAACGAAAUCAGAAAAAAACUUGCAAUAUAACUCAAACUUUGUUUUAACAAUUUUUAUUCCGAUUUCUCAAAAUAUUGAACUAAAAAAAUAGUAAAAAACAUUAAAAAGGACGAAAGCAUCGGGCUUAAAAAGACAAUCAAAAAAUAAAAAAGCAAAAAAUAACAAAAAUUGAAAAUCAGCUUUUUUUUAUUCUUCUUUAAGUGAAAAUCACUAUUUUAUUUUCUUUUUUAAGUCUAUUUUUUUCUUAAAGAGAAAUAUUUAAUUAUUGUUAUUGCUAUCGUCAGCAGAAAAUAAAAUUAUUAAUUGUAAAAAGUAGAAGCGAACAAAUAGAAAAAAUUAAGUAAAAGCAAGCCGAAAAAAUCGUAAAAAAAAUUGAAUGAGAAAUUAUAGGAAAAAAUUUCUUAUACACAAAUACAUACAGACUAUAUAAAGAGUAUGAAUUCAUUUUUAACAUUUUUAUUAUAAUUAAAAAAAAAUAUUUUUUUUUGUAUAAUUUUUGUGAUAUGUAUAACUUUACGACUGUUUUUUACACAUUUUUUUUACAUUAUACUCUUAAAAUAUUUUUUCUAUUUUCUUAAAUUGUUUUUAAUUUAAUUUUAAUACAAAGAUUUUUAUUUUUUCCAAAGCAAUAUUUUUUUUUCAACCAAUUCAUUUUAGGCAAAAUAGAAAUAAAAAAACAAAAAAAAAUCAUAAGUAAAUAGAGUUGAGAAGAAAGGAGAAAGAAUAUACAUAUUAUAAAUCUUAAUAUUAUUCGGUGAAAUUUGCGCGAUAGUGGCGAUUAAGAAAUAAAGUAGAAGGAGCAUUUAAACAAAUAGCAUAUAACCAAAUAUAAAACAAAAUAAAAAGAAAGCGAAGGGUAUAGAAGAGGGUAAAGCAUAUCAUUGUAGCGAAAUAGAGUUGAGCAAUAAAAAAAAAAGAAAGCUAAUAGAAAUUUGUUCUGCUUGUACUCUUUAUUUCGCUGAAUUUGUUAAAUUUUAUUUAUAAAAAAAUUUUUUUUUUAUUUUUGAUUUGUUUUGUUGUUUUCGAAGACUUUAUUGUUACUAUUUUUAUUGGUGGUAGUAUAAGGAAGGAAAAAAAAAGAUUUUUUUUGUUUGUGGUUCAUCACGUUUGUUGCUUCGAAUUCUCAUCGUCGUCAUCAUUUCAACGGAAAGUUAGAAGAAGACGAAGAAGAAGAAGUACUUUGUUUCUAUUUUAUAUUGAACUAAACAACGUUUCAUAUUCCAAUAAUAAAUAAUAUUAUUGAUCGAGAUUUUGAAUUUAAAUAAAAAAGGAAAAAUAAUAAUUAAUAUUAUUAUUUGCUUAAUAAAAUAUUGCUAGCUACUAGUGUGUAUAUGUUGUUGCUAUACAAAAGAUUUUAAAUUAUUUAUAUUAAUAACUAAAUAAUCAAAAUUUUUCGUAUAAAAUAAAAGAAGGAAACAAAGAAAAAUAAAAAAACAAUCUAAAUAAGGAUAAAUUUCAGGUACGUAUCGAGAUAUAAUAAAAUUUUGAUGACGUAAGCAGUGCUCGAAGUGAGGCGGGAUGGAGUGGGAUGCCAUCCCAGUAUUUUUAAAUAAUUGGAAAUCCAUCCCACUACUUAAUAGGAGAGAAAAAUGCGUUCCGGAACAUGUUUUUUAAAAUUUAAGAAAAUUUUCUAAUGAAUUUUAAAAAUUUUUUUAACAAAAAAUUAAAUAUAUGUAAUUUUAAAUAAGACCAAUUUCAAAUAGUAACGUAUAAUUUUUUUCUAUUAAUGAAAUUUUCGUUACUACAUAGUAGUCUAUGCAUUUCUUUGGUAACAAUUUGCACAGUUUUUGAUUCAAUUUUUAGUUGAUUUAAUUUUGAAUAUAAAUAUUCUCGUUAGUUUACUUCCAAAGUUUUGUAAAUUUUGUUUAGUUAUUUUUUUAAAAAAAUAACUAAAAUAAUACUUUUUUUUUUUUUACAAUCCCACCACUUUGAGCAUCCCACUUCGACCACUGGACGUAAGUAAAAAAAUUCAUAAAAUUUAUUUUUAAAUUCAAAAUGUUUAAUAUUUUUAAAUUCUC